UACGGAGGAUGCGAGCGUUAUCCGGAUUUAUUGGGUUUAAAGGGUGCGCAGGCGGCACGGUAAGCCGGCGGUCAAAUCGCGGGGCUCAACCCCGCCCAGCCGUCGGAACUGCCGGGCUAGAGUGGGCGAGAAGUGCGCGGAAUGCGUGGUGUAGCGGUGAAAUGCAUAGAUAUCACGCAGAACUCCGAUUGCGAAGGCAGCGCACCGGCGCCCUACUGACGCUCAGGCACGAAAGCGUGGGUAUCGAACAGG
rnacentral:rRNA from 1 species